CGGAUCGCAGGCUGCAACCCGCCUGCGUGAAGUCGGAAUCGCUAGUAAUCGCGGAUCAGCAUGCCGCGGUGAAUACGUUCCCGGGCCUUAUACACACCGCCCGUCACACCAUGAGAGUCGGGAACACCCGAAGCCCGUAGCCUAANAGCAAUGAGGGCGCGGUCGAAGGUGGGUUCGAUAAUUGGGGUGAAGUCGUAACAAGGUAGC
rnacentral:rRNA from 1 species